rnacentral:tRNA from 1 species
GCGCCCGUAGCUCAGUGGAUAGAGCAGAGGUUUCCUAAACCUCGUGCCGCCGGUUCGAUUCCGGCCGGGCGCUCCA